rnacentral:rRNA from 1 species
UGCGGAAGGAUCAUUACCGAGUUCAUGCCCUUACGGGUAGAUCUCCCACCCUAUGUUAUUAUUACCUUUGUUGCUUUGGCGGGCCGUCAGAUCUCGGUCAGGCUACCGGCUCCGGCUGGUAAGCGCCCGCCAGAGGACCCCAAACUCUGAAAUUAGUGUCGUCUGAGUACUAUAUAAUAGUUAAAACUUUCAACAACGGAUCUCUUGGUUCUGGCAUCGAUGAAGAACGCAGCGAAAUGCGAUAAGUAAUGUGAAUUGCAGAAUUCAGUGAAUCAUCGAAUCUUUGAACGCACAUUGCGCCCCUUGGUAUUCCGAGGGGCAUGCCUGUUCGAGCGUCAUUACAACCCUCAAGCACUGCUUGGUAUUGGGCUCCGCUGCUUAUCCAGCGGGCCUUAAAAUUAGUGGCGGUGUCAUUAGGCCCUGAGCGUAGUAAAUAUCCUCGCUAUAGGGACUUGGUGAUUACUGGCCAGCAACCCCCACUUUCUAAGUUUGACCUCGGAUCAGGUAGGGAUACCCGCUGAACUUAAGCAUAUCAAUAAGCGGAGG